rnacentral:rRNA from 1 species
AGCGGUGGAGCAAUGUGGUUUAAUUCGAAGCAACGCGAAGAACCUUACCAAGUCUUGACAUCCCGAUGACAAGCUAUGUAAUGUAGCCUCUCUUCGGAGCAUCGGUGACAGGUGGUGCAUGGUUGUCGUCAGCUCGUGUCGUGAGAUGUUGGGUUAAGUCCCGCAACGAGCGCAACCCCUGUUCUUAGUAGCCAGCGGUUCGGCCGGGCACUCUAGGGAGACUGCCAGGGAUAACCUGGA